UACGAAGGGGGCUAGCGUUGCUCGGAAUCACUGGGCGUAAAGCGCACGUAGGCGGCUUCUUUAGUCAGGGGUGAAAUCCUGGAGCUCAACUCCAGAACUGCCUUUGAUACUGAGGAGCUUGAGUCCGGGAGAGGUGAGUGGAACUGCGAGUGUAGAGGUGAAAUUCGUAGAUAUUCGCAAGAACACCAGUGGCGAAGGCGGCUCACUGGCCCGGUACUGACGCUGAGGUGCGAAAGCGUGGGGAGCAAACAGG
rnacentral:rRNA from 1 species